UAGUACCCAUAGCCCAGUGUUUCUCAGCCUGUGGGUUGCAACCCAAAAGUGGGUUGCAAGAAUAUACGAAAGGGUCACAAACAAACUUUUUGAGCCCAGAGUGUGUGUGAGAAUAGCAGGCCCAGCAGGGGGCAGAGUAGCAGCCCCAGCAGGGGGCAUGUAGUCAAAGCACAUCUGAGGGUGCCUGAGGCCAAUUUUGGGCCAGAGGCUGGAUGCGGCCCAACUAAAGAGACCGUAGAGUAAUAGUGAAUCUGGAUGACAUCUAUGAGGCAUGGGACACAGCGUAAGGGAAGGCUGAGAGUUGUGUAUUUGGCCCUUGUCAUCGUGGCAAUAAAUUGGGCAGCUUCCUGCAUUUUCCAUCUAUUUUGAUACAUCAAGGCGUGGCAGAGCUCCUUCUCCCCAUCAUUCCAAAGGUGCUUGCUGCUUAACUGAGAAUUGCAAAUGUGUGAAAGUCAGCAUCCAUACAGCCAAGAACCUGAGGAAGAUUAGGAAAAGUUGGAACUGUGCAAGAUGAAAUGCGGAUGUGACAACAGUUACAGUUGUGAUA